GCUUAUCACCAUUCCAGAUUGAAUAUACCCGAUCUCGUCUGAUCUCGGAAGUCAAGCAAUCUCGGGCUUGGUUAGUACUUGG
rnacentral:rRNA from 1 species